AUAGCUGUCUCCUACACAGAAUACAAUGUAUGGAAAAUACACUGUUGGCGAGAUUUGUAACGAAAUGUACAAAACUUAGUAAAGACUAUGUUAAUAACGAACAAAUAUGAAAAGGCAUUCGCAGUCUCCUACAUAGACAUCAGUGAUAUAUUGAAAAAAUAAAAAUUUAACAGAGCAGUUUUUGUUAAUUUUCUUUUGGGAGUGUUAAAAAUACAAACAAGCUUAACAAACGCCAUUCAACACUUGAAAUUGACAAUGAUUUUCAAAGAUCUUGCAUUGUAUGCCAGGAAAGUGUGCGAGAUACGUUGCUGCACCAGAAUCUCGUGCAAGUCGAGCAAUUAACAAUCACGUGCAAUGGAAAACCACGUGAUUUAAGCUGACAGUGUUGUACAAGCCAUCACAGCAAAUGAAUUCUGACAUGGAGGUGCUUUUGGCUUCUCAGAGAGCUGCUACGACUCUGUUCCAGGUCGGUGUGGAUUUUGAAGCAAACUGGUCAUGUGGUGUGCGGACGUAAAGGAAAGUAAAUGAAGACCACAUGAAGAUGGUCAGCAGCAUUCUCACAAG